rnacentral:rRNA from 1 species
UACGGAAUGUGCAACCGUUAUUCGGAAUCACUGGGCUUAAAGAGUCUGUAGGCGGUUUGUUAGGUGAGGUGUGAAAUCCCUCGGCCCAACCGAGGAAUUGCGCUUCAAACCGGCGAGCUAGAGGAGGAUAGAGGUGGGCGGAACUGAUGGUGGAGCGGUGAAAUGCGUUGAUAUCAUCAGGAACACCGGAGGCGAAAGCGGUCCACUGGGUCCUUUCUGACGCUGAUGGACGAAAGCUAGGGGAGCGAACGGG